UACGUAGGUGGCAAGCGUUGUCCGGAAAUAUUGGGCGUAAAGCGCGAGCAGGCGGUUUACUUAAGUCUGAUGUGAAAGCCCACGGCUCAACCGUGGAGGGUCAUUGGAAACUGGGAGACUUGAGUACAGAAGCGGAGAGUGGAAUUCCAAGUGUAGCGGUGAAAUGCGUAGAUAUGUGGAGGAACACCAGUGGCUAAGGCGACUCUCUGGUCUGUAACUGACGCUGAGGCUCGAAAGCGUGGGGAGCAAACAGG
rnacentral:misc_RNA from 1 species